GACGAACGCUGGCGGCGUGCCUAAUACAUGCAAGUCGAACGAACUCUGGUAUUGAUUGGUGCUUGCAUCAUGAUUUACAUUUGAGUGAGUGGCGAACUGGUGAGUAACACGUGGGAAACCUGCCCAGAAGCGGGGGAUAACACCUGGAAACAGAUGCUAAUACCGCAUAACAACUUGGACCGCAUGGUCCGAGCUUGAAAGAUGGCUUCGGCUAUCACUUUUGGAUGGUCCCGCGGCGUAUUAGCUAGAUGGUGGGGUAACGGCUCACCAUGGCAAUGAUACGUAGCCGACCUGAGAGGGUAAUCGGCCACAUUGGGACUGAGACACGGCCCAAACUCCUACGGGAGGCAGCAGUAGGGAAUCUUCCACAAUGGACGAAAGUCUGAUGGAGCAACGCCGCGUGAGUGAAGAAGGGUUUCGGCUCGUAAAACUCUGUUGUUAAAGAAGAACAUAUCUGAGAGUAACUGUUCAGGUAUUGACGGUAUUUAACCAGAAAGCCACGGCUAACUACGUGCCAGCAGCCGCGGUAAUACGUAGGUGGCAAGCGUUGUCCGGAUUUAUUGGGCGUAAAGCGAGCGCAGGCGGUUUUUUAAGUCUGAUGUGAAAGCCUUCGGCUCAACCGAAGAAGUGCAUCGGAAACUGGGAAACUUGAGUGCAGAAGAGGACAGUGGAACUCCAUGUGUAGCGGUGAAAUGCGUAGAUAUAUGGAAGAACACCAGUGGCGAAGGCGGCUGUCUGGUCUGUAACUGACGCUGAGGCUCGAAAGUAUGGGUAGCAAACAGGAUUAGAUACCCUGGUAGUCCAUACCGUAAACGAUGAAUGCUAAGUGUUGGAGGGUUUCCGCCCUUCAGUGCUGCAGCUAACGCAUUAAGCAUUCCGCCUGGGGAGUACGGCCGCAAGGCUGAAACUCAAAGGAAUUGACGGGGGCCCGCACAAGCGGUGGAGCAUGUGGUUUAAUUCGAAGCUACGCGAAGAACCUUACCAGGUCUUGACAUACUAUGCAAAUCUAAGAGAUUAGACGUUCCCUUCGGGGACAUGGAUACAGGUGGUGCAUGGUUGUCGUCAGCUCGUGUCGUGAGAUGUUGGGUUAAGUCCCGCAACGAGCGCAACCCUUAUUAUCAGUUGCCAGCAUUAAGUUGGGCACUCUGGUGAGACUGCCGGUGACAAACCGGAGGAAGGUGGGGAUGACGUCAAAUCAUCAUGCCCCUUAUGACCUGGGCUACACACGUGCUACAAUGGAUGGUACAACGAGUUGCGAACUCGCGAGAGUAAGCUAAUCUCUUAAAGCCAUUCUCAGUUCGGAUUGUAGGCUGCAACUCGCCUACAUGAAGUCGGAAUCGCUAGUAAUCGCGGAUCAGCAUGCCGCGGUGAAUACGUUCCCGGGCCUUGUACACACCGCCCGUCACACCAUGAGAGUUUGUAACACCCAAAGUCGGUGGGGUAACCUUUUAGGAACCAGCCGCCUAAGGUGGGACAGAUGAUUAGGGUGAAGUCGUAACAACUACGGC
rnacentral:rRNA from 1 species